rnacentral:misc_RNA from 1 species
UCAAACUUGGUCAUUUAGAGGAAGUAAAAGUCGUAACAAGGUUUCCGUAGGUGAACCUGCGGAAGGAUCAUUAUCGAGUUAGGGUCUUCCAGGCCCGACCUCCAACCCUGUGUUUACUUCACCUUGUGUUGCUUCGGCGAGCCCGUCCCUCCGGGGGCCGCCGGAGGGUGUCCAAGCCCUCUGGCCCGUUGCUCGUCGGUAGCCCUUGUCUCAAACUCUUGAUACCAACCUGUGUCUGAAUCUUGAUAAUUAAUCAAAAGCAAAACUUUCAACAACGGAUCUCUUGGUUCUGGCAUCGAUGAAGAACGCAGC